AUUGAACGCUGGCGGCAGGCCUAACACAUGCAAGUCGAACGCGUGGCGGCCGGGUGAAUAAUGUCUGGGAAACUGCCUGAUGGAGGGGGUUAACUACUGGAACCGGUCGCUAAUACCGCAUACCAUCAGAUGUGCCCAGAUGGGAUUAGCUUGUUGGUGGGGUAACGGCUCACCAAGGCGACGAUCCCUAGCUGGUCUGCGAGGAUGACCGGCCAAACUGGAACUGAGACACGGUCCAGACUCUUACGGGAGGCAGCAGUGGGGAAUAUUGCACAAUGGGCGCAAGCCUGAUGCAGCCAUGCCGCGUGGAUGAAGAAGGCCUUCGGGUUGUAAAGUACUUUUAGCGGGGAGGCGUUACCCGCACAAGAAGCACCGGCUAACUCCGUGCCAGCCGCCGCGGUAAUUC
rnacentral:rRNA from 1 species